rnacentral:lncRNA from 1 species
UUUCCUAAACUCUAGAGACAAAAUCAGAGGUGGCUACUGUUCAUCUUCCUCUCUACUGGGCUCGAUCUCAACUCACCUGAGUUCGAGCUCACUCACUCAAAACGAUUGUCUCCCCACGUCAGCUCUAUUCCAACGGAUUUGUCAGAAAAGAGUAAGAAUAUUCUCUCCAAAUCGCACAAUUUCUGUACAAAAGAACGAUUGUUGGUCUAAUGGGGCCAUGGAUAGAUGCAAAUCAAUCCAUGCCUUCCAUUUAUCCUGAAAUUGUUCGAAAAAAUCUGAGGAUUUCGGAUAUUUGUGAGAAGAUUCAAGACUUUUUCGAGGGCUAUAUAUAAGGUAAGUUCGUUCUUGUAAAGGGGGGAUUCAGAGAGAGAAUCAUAUUAAAAAAAUCGGAGAGCAAAAAUAGAAAGAAAAAAAUAUAGUGAAGUCGGAGGAAAAAAUUCUCAGAAAAAUUAGUAGAGUAAAUUUCUAGGGUUUUGAAGUUGUUCUUUUCUCUUCAUUUUUUUUUUCAGUCUACAAAUUUCUUUUUAAAAAAAUGAAAGAUGUACAAAGGCCUAUCUUGAGGUUUUUUUUAGCUUUGUUCUUGAAAUGAAGUUUUAAAUUGGAGUUUGUGGCUGGGAUUCGAAUUUUCGGCGCUGUUGAUGUCUGUCCGAAUUUCUUGGUUGCGAUUUGGGUUCAUUUGGUUGAAGUUGUUCUCUGGUUGCUGGCCGAGCUCUCAUCUUUGUUUUGUAAAUCUCAUCCUUGUCUAAUUUAGGUACUUUCUUGUUUCUGUUAACAUUUGGAGUGUUUAUUUGUUCUUUUACAAUGGUAAUGACAAACACAUAUUUAAAGUGAUUUUGAAAGCGAUACAGUGUACAAUCACACGAAAGGUGCAAUUUUUGGGCUACUUAUGUGUUCUUUCCUCGUUUGAAUGUUCUCAUUAUGCGUGCACUUGAUAUUUAAUUUCAAACGCAUUUUUGAAGAUUCAACUUCAAAGGCCCUGUGAAUUUGAUAUUGCAGACUACUACUUCAUUCUGUUUUACUUCCUACUAUUUGUAUUUGAAAAACAUUGCUCUCAUGUGCUUAUGUUACUUUUUUUAGGAAGUUAUAUGUAAAUGAUAGUUUAAAGUUUGUUGCGCAAUUUGCUGGGUUGAUUCAGUUAGAUUGAAGAAAGAAAUUUUUAGCCAAG